rnacentral:rRNA from 1 species
AUUGAACGCUGGCGGCAGGCCUAACACAUGCAAGUCGAGCGAGCGGCGGACGGGUGAGUAAUGUAUGGGGAUCUGCCUGAUGGAGGGGGAUAACUACUGGAAACGGUAGCUAAUACCGCAUACCAUCAGAUGAACCCAUAUGGGAUUAGCUUGUAGGUGAGGUAAAGGCUAACCUAGGCGACGCUCCCUAGCUGGUCGGAUAGGAUGAUCAGCCACACGGGGACUGAGACACGGUCCAGACUCCUAUGGUGGGCAGCAGUGGGGAAUAUUGCACAAUGGGCGAAAUCCUGAUGCAGCCAUGCCGCGUGUAUGAAGAAGGCCUUCGGGUUGUAAAGUACUUUCAGCGAGGAGGCGUUACUCGCAGAAGAAGCACCGGCUAACUCCGUGCCAGCAGCCGCGGUAAUAC